rnacentral:sRNA from 1 species
GAAUUUCGCCAGGGUCGACCUCCUCCCCGGCCCUGACGGAUACGGUCAGCUUUCACCUCCUCCCGAUCGCUGGCCGGCACAAAACGACACCCGCCGCACCUCCUCCCGCGGCGGGUGUUGUCU